UGCUUUACACAUGCAAGUCGAACGGCAGCACGGGGGCAACCCUGGUGGCGAGUGGCGAACGGGUGAGUAAUAUAUCGGAACAUGUCCGGAAGUGGGGGAUAACGUACCGAAAGGUACGCUAAUACCGCAUAUGCCCUGAGGGGGAAAGCGGGGGAUCGUAAGACCUCGCGCUUUCGGAGUGGCCGAUAUCAGAUUAGCUAGUUGGUGAGGUAAAGGCUCACCAAGGCGACGAUCUGUAGCUGGUCUGAGAGGACGACCAGCCACACUGGAGCUGAGACACGGUCCAGACUCCUACGGGAGGCAGCAGUGGGGAAUUUUGGACAAUGGGCGCAAGCCUGAUCCAGCCUCCGCGUGAGUGAAGAAGGCCUUCGGGUUGUAAAGCGC
rnacentral:rRNA from 1 species